UACAGAGGAGCCAAGCGUUGUCCGGAUUGACUGGGCGUAAAGCGCACGCAGGCGGAUGCGCGCGUGGGGUGUGAAAUCUGGCCGCUUAACGGCCAGGCGCCAUCCCAUACGGCGCGUCUGGAGUGAUGCAGAGGUCGAUGGAAUUGCCGGUGUAGUGGUGAAAUGCGUAGAGGUCGGCAGGAACACCCAGGGGGAAACCAGUCGACUGGGCAUCUACUGACGCUGAGGUGCGAGAGCGUGGGGAGCGAACCGG
rnacentral:rRNA from 1 species